CUUUCAAAUAGAGGAGCGGUCUGAAGGUAAUGGCAAAGUAUGAAGCCCUUCUUUUGCCAUGAAUAGCAGAUUGCCGAAGGAAGACAGAAGAGGGCCUAUUCUGUAUUUCCUGGUGAAAAGGCACAAAGCCUAUCACUGUCAUGUAGAACUACAUGGAGCGCUAUUUAUGUU
rnacentral:ncRNA from 2 species